ensembl:lncRNA
UUCCUCUCUCUCGGUUUCCUCCUCUCUUCGUUACUUCCUCUCUCUCGGUUUCUUCCUCUCUCUCGGUUUCCUCCUCUCUCUCGGUUACUUCCUCUCUCGGUUACUUCCUCUCUUGGUUACUUCCUCUCUCUCAGUUUCUUCCUCUCUCUCGGUGUCCUCCUCUCUCAGUUUCAUCCUCUCUCUGUUACUUCCUCUCUCUUGGUUUUCUUCCUCUCUCUCGGUUUUCUUCCUCUCUCUCGCUUUCCUCCUCUCUCAGUUUCUUCCUCUCUCUCGGUUGUCUCCUCUCCCGGUUUCUUCCUCCUCUCUCGGUUUCCUCCUCUCUCUCAGUUUCCUCCUCUCUCUCAGUUACUUCCUCUCUCUCGGUUUCUUCCCCUCUCUCGGUUUCUUCCUCUCUCUCGGUUUCUUCCUCUCUCUCGGUUACUUCCUCUCUCUCGGUUACCUCCUCUCUCUCGGUUUCCUCCUCUCUCUCGGUUUCCUCCUCUCUCACGGUUUCCUCCUCUCUCUCGGUUUCCUCCUCUCUCUCGGUUACCUCCUACCUCUGUUUCUUCCUCUCUCUCGGUUUCUUCCUCUCUCUCGGUUUCUUCCUCUCUCUCGGUUACCUCCUCUCUCUCGGUUUCCUCCUCUCUCUCGGUUUCCUCCUCUCUCUCGGUUUC